rnacentral:lncRNA from 10 species
GCCACGUGAAGGAUGUGUUUGCUUCCCCUUCCACCAUGAUUGUAAGUUUCCUGAGGCCUCCCCAGCCAUGUGGAACUGUGAAUUAAACUUCUUUCCUGGAGUGUGAAAAUGAACUAAUAAACUCUGUGACCUCAGAGACUCCCUCUCAGUGACCCUGUUCUCAAAUGUAUGAAGAUGGGUGCUCAAAGAUCUCUCUCUAAACAUGGAACAGGGCCUGUCUGAAGACAUAAGUGAUUAACUUCUAAUCUAUAACUAAGGUCUGAGUCCUGAAGACCUUCCUCUGGAGGCUGAGUAGUUAAUCUAGAUGGGUCCAGGUGCUGCAGGUAAAAUACCUCUUUUCUGACAAGACUAGGACUCUUACAUAGACUACCAUGAACUAAAAGAAGCACAACAUUGCCAGAGUAACCUGUGAUACUGUCUUCAUGCGAACUUGGUAUCCUGUUUCCAUCCCAGCCUUCUAUAACCCAGUAACAUCUUUUUUGAAACCAGUGGGUGAGAAAGACACCUGGUCAGGAACGCGGACCACAGGACAACUCAGGCUCACCCACGGCAUCAGACUAAAGGCAAACAAGGACUCUGUAUAAAGUACCGGUGGCAUGUGUAUUAGUGGAGAUGCAGCCUGUGCUCUGCAGACAGGGAGUCACACAGACACUUUUCUAUAAUUUCUUAAGUGCUUUGAAUGUUCAAGUAGAAAGUCUAACAUUAAAUUUGAUUGAACAAUUGUA